CCCUUAGAUGUUCUGGGCUGCACGCGCGCUACACUGAUGCACUCAACGAGUUUACGACCUUGCCCGAUAGGGUUGGGUAAUCUUUUUAAAAUGCAUCGUGAUGGGGAUAGAUUAUUGCAAUUAUUAAUCUUCAACGAGGAAUUCCUAGUAAGCGCGAGUCAUCAGCUCGUGCUGAUUACGUCCCUGCCCUUUGUACACACCGCCCGUCGCUCCUACCGAUUGAGUGCUCAGGUGAAUAAUUCGGACUGCAGCAAUGUUUGGAUCCCGAACGUCGCAGCGGAAAGUUUAGUGAACCUUAUCACUUAGAGGAAGGAGAAGUCGUAACA
rnacentral:rRNA from 1 species